GAAAAUAGUUCUCCUGGGUGGUCCGACUCAUUAAUACACUCCGCACUUCUUGAUUUACGGCUCGCAGUUCAACUGCUGCUAAUUAACGUGAAAACACGUUCAAAAAAGAAAAAGAAAAGAGGAACAUACAGAGGAGGAGGAGGCCCCUGAGUCAGGAUGAACCUCCACAUGAAGCUUCCUAUUGAGGUCGUGUACUGUUGCACGGUACCCUGUGACCUUGUCAAAAGCAAUCACCGUGGUAACACACGGUUAAGUUUUCCUCUCAUCUUAAGACAUAAUCUCUUUAAUUGGUGUCAAAGUUGGGGUCCUUAUGGUGAAAGUCCUGAAAAUACCCACACAGACCGACACGCUCACUUGUUGACACUUAACAAAAAACCCCAAUGAAACAGGGUCUUGUCAAUGUGGUGCUGAAACUUGUUAAUCUAUAGUGGGGGGCGGUGGGGGUGUCACCGCAGGCCCUCCAGCCACUCCAGUCCGACAGGAUCUUUCGACUUAAGUCAGUCCCAUCUGACCUCUCAGACUAUUCAGCCCUUCCCCUUUACACCUGCACAGCUCUGAGGUAGAAUGACCGAAGAUUUGCUCUCUCACAGUUCUUACACCGCCGAGGAAGAAAUGUAUCUCAUUGUUUAAGAUCUCCAUGUUCAACUGUCAUUUUUUUCUUAUUGAGUAAUCACCAAUUCUUUCCUGUAUUGAUUGAUGAAUUGUUUUGUCUUUACAACGUUAGACAAUAGUAGAAAAAGACCAUUGCAUUUCCCCCAAAACAUGGAACUUUUUUCAAAUUGCAUGUUUUCUCCAACCAUCAAUUCAAGAUCUAAAUAAUUGUAAGAAAGAGAAAACCGAAAAUGUAAUCUGAAAAAAAAUCCAACUGCUAUAUGUUUAUAUAUAUAUAUUGCCAAUACUUGUAAAUGUCAACUUAUUUUAUUGUGAUUUGUUAACAAAUUUCUGCCAAGUAAUAAUAUUUUGAAGUCUGGUUG
ensembl:lncRNA